GAAGGUCGCGGCGAGAUUAGCCUUUUAUACUAUUAAAUAUAAUUUAUACUAUUAAAUAUAAUAGGUGUUAGGUGGAAGUGCAAUGAUGUAUGUAGCUGAAGCAUCCUAAAAAAAAAUGAAAGACCAAGAGAUUUAAAC
rnacentral:rRNA from 1 species